GCUUUCAUAAAUGGAGAGUGAGCCAGAAUAGUUCUCGCAUUACAGCCGCUCGGGUCUCCAGUGACGAUGGGGAGAAGGGUUAAUUGGAGACUGAACUUGCCUUCUCAGAAAGACAGCGGUGUCGUGCUUGCCCGCUGUGCCAACCCUCUCCCCAAACCCUCCGCGGCAAUGAAGAUGCUCCCAGCUGCUGCCACAGCGUCUACGGAGAGACAGGCUUUUCACUUGUAAAGGUGGAGCAGCCGGGCUCGGAGGAGGGCUCUGGGAAACAUGGUGCAAAGUGCCGAGGGCAGGCUGCUCCCGGAGCCUGACUAGCUGGGCGCUACUGGCUCUGGCCGCUGCCUGGUGCCGCCGCACCGGUGGACGGACCUCCCAGGCGGGAAAAGUAAGAGAGUCACCCUGGACUUACCGCGACAAGGCUGCUGCCUGCAGCUCCCAUGCAAAGAGCAGGCGGCUUCUCAGCAAACGGGAGCCGGGCGCUGAGAGGAAGCUUCGAAACCGUGGCAAGACAGCCAGGCCAGAGGCAUGGAGCGUGUGUCCGGGGCUGGGAGUCACGGCGUGGACCAGCGGCCACAGGGCUCUGCCAGACAAGUGCACUGCAGCAGGGUGGCGGGCAUAGGAUUGCGACGCGUGUCCCAUAUAUUCAAGCGUAAUAGAAAACACGGAUCUGGAGUUGACUCCAUGUGGAUGUGGGGGCCUCCUGGUCCAGAGCAGGAAAGGGAGGCUCUUGGCUGGAAAUGGAAUUAGCCACUGAGGCGGCAGCCUGCAGAACCCCCUGGGACGUCCAUGCAGAAAGCAGGUGCCUCUGUCUGCUGAUGUUUCACAGAAACGGCUAUAAUCUCAUUUCACAAACGAUCCCUAUUUAGACGGGAGCCACCUAUUGUGAUGAAAUCAUUUGCUCCAGUGGCCAUAAAUGGGCAACUUCCUGGGAUCGUCACAGCACUGACGCCACGGUCUCUGGAAAGUGGUGGGCAGGGCACUCGCAGGCCGGCCACCAGGGCAGCGCAGGGCUCUGGAGGGCUGGAAAGUGACAGCCCAGGAAAGCCCUCCACCCAAAGGGCUCCGCACAGCCCCUCCUCUGGGAAAGAGGGAGGGGCCUAAGCGGCAGUGGGAUGGAGGACUGAGGAACACUGUCUGCUGACAGCGGAGGUUUGGGACCUUGCUGCUGCCCUGACGGAGCUGAGACCCACCCUGCUUCACCCCCGCCUGCAGCCCUUGCUCUGGAAGACUCCUGGUCAGUGGGAUGGACGCUGAGCCCAGGAACCAUGCAGAGUGGCCUUGCCACCAAUCCCAUCCCCAAGGGAGCAUCUGGAAUGGCCAGUGAGCUGAGGGCUGUUUACCUCCACCUCCACCCUGUCACCCUCUGUGCCCAGGCAGACGGUUGGGGAGAACCAAGCUCAAGAGCGAGAUGCCCACGGCCAAGUUGGGGACACAGGAGUCAGGGACACAGUGAGGAGAAGACAGACACAGAGUCUCACAAUAAGCCUCCAGGAAUCCCCCUCCCACCACUUGGUGACCGAGACAUUCAGUGGGGGAGGCAGACUUUCCACAUUCUUGAACCUAAGAUGGCAGGUGAAUGAAGACAGCAGGUUUGCCGACACCCUCAGUUGAUCAUGAGGCCCCGAUGCGCCAUGUGUUCCUGGUGGGGUCAAGCGUUCACCUGAGAUGUUCCCAGGCACAGUGCCCAAGGACUGAGGGGAGGUCUGCUGGAGUCGCACCUGUGCCCAGGCUGAAAGCCACACGGCACAGAAGGCCACGCUGGGGACACCAGGUCACAAUAGGUCAAGAUGGGGCUCUGAGUGAGGGACACCACAGGGUCGGGCGCAUGGGAGUCAGCUUCAGGCCACACGUCAGGCUGCCUCCUGCAGCAACGCUGCGCCUGACCUCAGCUGGCUUUCGGAGACCUUGGCGGGGACCUCAUGACCCAGCUCAGGAAGGAAGACCACCUGAGCCAAACGCAUGGUGUGUCCCUCUGUGUGGACAGCACCAUGACCAAACUUAUGUCCCCUGGAACCUGAGAAUGUGACCCUAUCUGGGAACAAGAGUCUUCACACGCACCAUUCAUAAGGGUCUUGUGAGGCAGCAGUGCUGGCUUCAUGCUGGCCCCAAAGCCAAGGGCAGGCUUCCGGCUAGAGAGGCAGCAGUCAGAGGCUGCAGUGGUGCGUCCACAAGCCAGGACCACCAGGCCUGUGUUCAUGCCGAGGCCAGGCUCGCCAGACGGGCCCUGAGCCUCAAAAGAAGCCAGCCCUGGGGCCCCAGUCUUGGACAUCUGCCCGCAGACGGUGAGACUGGGCAGUUAUGUUGUUUGAAGUCCGCAGCCUGUGGCCUCUGGCUAUAGCAGCCCCAGGAAACACAUUCGACCUCAAGUCCUGAGACAGUGCUAGAUUCUGUGGAGGGGCUCACAUCAUCACUGACGCCACCAUGAAGAACUCAAGCUGCAGUCCCACAUCCCCAAGGCCCUCCCACCUGGUUGAGCGGCUUCCCCAGCAACACGAGAUGCCGUGGGACAUCCUGCACCCAGAGCCUAGAAGCACCUCGAAACCGCCAGCUUUUAAUGCAUGUGCUUUAUGCUGCUGAUGACAAUCAGAACCAACCAACUGGAAUCACUUACACGGCCACCGGGCUUAGUCCUCCAGGCUCAGGCCGUUGUCACCGCCUGAGGUCCCUCCAGCAGGUGUCACCUUGUCUGUGGUUUUCUCUGCUCAAGGCACCCACAUGCGGCAGAGCUGCUGUCCCACACCAGUCUCCCCCAGGAGAGCCUGUGCACUCGGGGGGACGCAGACAGCCGUCCUUCCCCUUGGCCACACCACAUGCUGGGAGUAUCGUGGAUAAGAGUGGAUCGAGACACCUGCCUCAGUGCAGCCGCGGACAGAGGAGGACACAGCAGGGGAUCUCUGCUUACGACACCUCAUCUACCUGCUGGCUGUAUUCACUAUGAAUGAAGGCAGAUGAUUAAGUUGGGAUUUCUUCCUCCUGAGCCUCCUACUAGGCACGGUGAGACGUUUCAUGGGUGUAACUGCAUUUCUCCACCGCAGCUCGUCAGUGCAGAUGGUGGUGGUGCCUCCAACCUCAACUAGAGAGACUGAGUCUGUCCAAAAGUACCUUCUGGAGUGAGUCUCCAGCAUGGUCUGAACUCAAGCCCAGCUCUGUCCACUCUGAGGUCAAUGUCACCUCCACACGACGCUAACAGAAUUCCUGUCAUCAAACCACAUUCACCCUGAGGCACUGAGUCCUUCUGCGCAGCUUCUCCUGGAGCUGCACUGAGUGACAAACAUGCUGGGACCCUGGGCUGUGGUCCUGCUGGCUGAGGGGCAGCAUGCCCUUCCUCACUAGUUCUACAGAAAGAGAGCAAAAAUGACUCCUUGAAAUAUGCAUCCCAAACCAGAAAAGUCCUAGCAUUAAAAUCAAGCAACAAAUACACCAGGAAAAAGAGGCGAGCCCGAUGGGAGAAAGCACAGGUGACCAGAGGGAAGACGUAGGCAGAGCCGCGAGAAUCCAAUCCUUCUCCAAAUGCACAGAUUUGCUCAACAAAAUGAAACUCUGAAACCCACAGACUUUAAGGAGCCGCACGCACUUGAGGGAAACACACUAUGACAUCAAAAGUGGAUGACCCGCCGGUCAGGCCUCUCGUAAAACGAUUCCACUUAAUGCACUGGACUGAGAUGAUUUAAUCAAAAGUUGUCACAAGAAACAGCAUGGGUAGGAUUUCCUAAAACACAACAAUUUUUUUUAUUACUCAAUGAAUUUAUUACAUUUAUAGUUGUACAAUGAUCACCACAAUCCAGUUUUAUAGUAUUCCCAUCCCACACCCCCAGCGCAUCCCCCCAGCCCCCAAAGUGUCUCCUUUGGAAAGCAAAAGUUUUUCAAAGUCUGUGAGUCAGUAUCUGUUCUGCAAAGAAGUUCACUGUGUCCUUUUUUCAGAUUCCACAUGUCAGUGAUAGCAUUUGAUGUUGGCGUCUCAUUGUCUGACUGACUUCACUUAGCAUAAUAAUUCCUUAAAGUCCUUUAAUGUUACUGUGAGUUUAUUAGGGUGCAGCCUAACAGACAACUGGCCCUGCAGUGACAUGAUUCCACCCAGAAGACACAGGGGCCACCCACCAUCCCACACCCAAGUCCCCUGCCACCACCACUUCUCAUAUCUCAACACCAUCCAUGGUUCACCAGGAUUAUACCAGCUUCACUCUUUCCAAUGGCUCUUUUCUGUACCAAACAGGUUUUACUGUCCCUGCAUUUAAACAUUGAGAAGCUAAGGUUUACACAUAGUGAAUAUUUUGCCCCAAUUUAUGAAGAAUCAGAGUUCAAACACGGUUCUAUAGACUCUGGUUGGCAACUUCCUCAGUGGAACCAGCUCUCACUCUUUCUCAUGUAGGAGCCCUCUGGAUGUUCAGACUCCUGAGGUAGCUGGAGGAAGGUCACUCGAAGGUCGAACAGCCAGAAGGGUGUCUACUGUUGCGAAGGAGAGACAGCAUUGAGAGAGAAGAGGAAUUUGGCUGUAGGUUUUUAAUGGCAACUGUCUGCCAGCAGGGCUAUUAAAAAACACAUAAUGGAAUCUAAGUAAUAAGCACAGAGUUUAAGUGGAAACAUCUAUUUAUUAUCUGAUGUGAACAUUAAACCAGAUAAAGCCCUACUAUAUCCAUGGGUAGGGGCCGGCCACUUGUCAUCUUCAUACUUGGAGCAGAAGGAGGAGACUUAAAUUUUGGGACUCUAAAUCAGGGUCCACACAGUUAAAAAUGAAAAGUAGAAAUCCACUUGCCAGUUUAAUAAGUUGAGCUGAAGUCUUAAUGAACUGUCUUCUGCCUCCCCUAAAAGAGAUCUUAUAGCUCCUGAACCACUAGCAGACCACUGUAUGUUUGGAGAUUGUCAAAGUUUCAUCAUAUAAUUAGACACUUAAGAACAUGGUCUCAUAACAAACUCUACUUUUUAAAAACAAUAAAUUUUAUUAUAUAUAUAGCUGUAUAACAACCUUCGUAACCCAACAUAAAUUCUAUUAAUAGCUUCCGCUACCAAAGUAUCUGUCACAUAGAAAUUGACUUCUGGGUAAAUGUUUAAGAAAGUUGAUCCUUAUCAACAUCUGAGACACAUGUGUAUUUCAUACAUGACUUUUUCUGAGCAUGUGCUAUUUCAACAUUUGUUGCUGUGGGAGCAAACUAUUUAAUUGUGCAUGUACAAUUAAAUGCUCAGUGAGAAAAAUCUAUUUUUGUGUAUCAUGGGCUAAGAAGACUGUUAUUAUUUUGUUCUAGUGCUUUUUAUAAAACAAACAAAAAGCAUUAGUAAGAAAGUCUGAUAAGGAAAAAUCUUUCUAGGUAAGUUAUAGCUUUUCUUUAUAUUGAUUAUUUGGGAGGAGUCUGUUCUCAGACCACUCAAGAGUUUUAAAAUUUUGACUAAUAAAACAGCACAAAACUAACACAAUACAAAACAGUAAAUCCCAAUGUUCUAAAUAAUCUUUGUUUCUGCUGAGAAAUUAAUUUCUGCUGUUAUGUUUUAUUCAUUUGUCAUUCAUUAUCUCAUAAUUCCUGGUCAUUCAAUCCAAGGGGGGAAUAACAAAUUACUGUGUAUGUUUUAUUCAAUUUUUAUAUUCUUAAGGAAUUCAACGAAAAAUAGAAAUAUUUGCAUAAAUAUAACAUAUUCUAAUAUACAGUGAGUUAGACUAUCUUAAUGAUAUCUGUGAUUCAAAGUCUUAUGUUUAUUUGAUGGUAAAACAAGUCCUGAAAUCCUAACAGUAAUAGCUAACUAAAACCCUCAGUUUUUGUCUAAGAACGAAGCAUAGUCAUUUAAUACAGACACUAAAAUAACAGAGCAUAAUUUUUAUAUACUAUGUUUGAAUACAUACAUGGCUACAGGGUUUUAUGCAUGUAUUUUUGUGUUACUCUUUGUGUAUACGUGUGCGUGUUCUAACCAAAAGAAGAAAAAUAAUAAACAAACAAACCUUC
rnacentral:lncRNA from 1 species